rnacentral:rRNA from 1 species
ACACUCCUGCGGGAGGCAGCAGUGGGGAAUAUUGCACAAUGGGCGCAAGCCUGAUGCAGCCAUGCCGCGUGUGUGAAGAAGGCCUUCGGGUUGUAAAGCACUUUCAGCGGGGAGGAAGGCGAUACGGUUAAUAACCGUGUUGAUUGACGUUACCCGCAGAAGAAGCACCGGCUAACUCCGUGCCAGCAGCCGCGGUAAUACGGAGGGUGCAAGCGUUAAUCGGAAUUACUGGGCGUAAAGCGCACGCAGGCGGUCUGUCAAGUCGGAUGUGAAAUCCCCGGGCUCAACCUGGGAACUGCAUUCGAAACUGGCAGGCUUGAGUCUUGUAGAGGGGGGUAGAAUUCCAGGUGUAGCGGUGAAAUGCGUAGAGAUCUGGAGGAAUACCGGUGGCGAAGGCGGCCCCCUGGACAAAGACUGACGCUCAGGUGCGAAAGCGUGGGGAGCAAACAGGAUUAGAUACCCCGGUAGUCCCAUGAU